rnacentral:rRNA from 1 species
GGAAAAGAAACUAACAAGGAUUCCCCUAGUAACUGCGAGUGAAGCGGGAAAAGCUCAAAUUUAAAAUCUGGCAGCCUUUGGCUGUCCGAGUUGUAAUCUAGAGAAGUGUUAUCCGCGCUGGACCGUGUACAAGUCUCCUGGAAUGGAGCGUCGUAGAGGGUGAGAAUCCCGUCUUUGACACGGACUGCCAGGGCUUUGUGAUGCGCUCUCAAAGAGUCGAGUUGUUUGGGAAUGCAGCUCAAAAUGGGUGGUAAAUUCCAUCUAAAGCUAAAUAUUGGCGAGAGACCGAUAGCGAACAAGUACCGUGAGGGAAAGAUGAAAAGAACUUUGGAAAGAGAGUUAAACAGUACGUGAAAUUGCUGAAAGGGAAACGCUUGAAGUCAGUCGCGUUGUCCAGGGAUCAACCUUGCUUUUGCUUGGUGCACUUUCUGGUUGACGGGUCAGCAUCAAUUUUGACUAUUGGAAAAAGAUUAGGGGAAUGUGGCAUCUUCGGAUGUGUUAUAGCCCUUGGUUGCAUACAAUGGUUGGGAUUGAGGAACUCAGCACGCCGCAAGGCCGGGUUUUAUACCACGUACGUGCUUAGGAUGCUGGCAUAAUGGCUUUAAUCGACCCGUCUUGAAACACGGACCAAGGAGUCUAACAUGCCUGCGAGUGUUUGGGUGGAAAACCCGAGCGCGUAAUGAAAGUGAAAGUUGAGAUCCCCUGUCGUGGGGAGCAUCGACGCCCGGACCAGACCUUUUGUGACGGUUCCGCGGUAGAGCAUGUAUGUUGGGACCCGAAAGAUGGUGAACUAUGCCUGAAUAGGGUGAAGCCAGAGGAAACUCUGGUGGAGGCUCGUAGCGAUUCUGACGUGCAAAUCGAUCGUCAAAUUUGGGUAUAGGGGCGAAAGACUAAUCGAACCAUCUAGUAGCUGUUC